rnacentral:rRNA from 1 species
UUGCCUUAGUAACGGCGAGUGAAGCGGCAAAAGCUCAAAUUUGAAAUCGGCCACCAGGUCGAGUUGUAAUUUGUAGAUUGUAUCUUGAGAGCGGAUUAAAGUCUGUUGGAACACAGCGCCUUAGAGGGUGACAGCCCCGUAAAAUCUAUUCUCAUUGUAAGAUACUUUCGAAGAGUCGAGUUGUUUGGGAAUGCAGCUCUAAGUGGGAGGUAAAUUCCUUCUAAAGCUAAAUAUUGACGAGAGACCGAUAGCGAACAAGUACUGUGAAGGAAAGAUGAAAAGCACUUUGAAAAGAGAGUGAAAAAGUACGUGAAAUUGUUAAAAGGGAAGGGUAUUGAAUCAGACUUGGUGCUGUUGUUCAACUGUGUUUCGGCAUAGUGUACUCAGCAGUACUAGGCCAAGGUGGGGUGUUUGGGAGUGAAAAAGAAGUUGGAACGUAACUCUUCGGAGUGUUAUAGCCUACUUUCAUAGCUCCUCAGGCGCCUCAGGACUGCGCUU